GAUUAAAGAGCACAUUGAUUAUUUUUGUUAAGAACUGGUGUGACUGACAAAAUAAUCAAACAAUUACACAUAAAGUGCUACAUAUUCCUUGUUUUGAUGUAUAAGGAUUGGUUUUUAAUAAUAGAAAUAGAUGAGUUUUUUACUA
rfam:Gossypium arboreum cultivar AKA8401 contig_1110_15, whole genome shotgun sequence.